GUGCUUGCUUCGGCAGCACAUGUGCUAAAACUGGACCAAUACAGAAGAGAUUAGCAUGGCCCCUAUGUGAGGAUGACACACAAACUUGUGAAGUGUUCCAUACUUUU
ensembl:snRNA U6 U6 spliceosomal RNA